CCCUCCUCUGUCUUCGAUUGUUCGAAAAUCAGUACCACGUAUAAUACGAACCCGCGAACCCCAAUACCUAGCGGGGAGGGUAGGGGGAGGGGGAGGGGGAGUGGGUUGGGGGUGAAAAUGCCUUGAAAUCCAAACGCUCUUAACAGCUGAAUUCACCGAUCGAAAUGGGUAAGGUCGGUAUUUAUUCAACGUUGAAAUGCGCAUACUCUUAGAUAUACCAACCAUUGCAGCAAGUUUCCCUCGGGAACCUUACGGGGUGGCGGGGGGUUUCCGCAAGCGUUUCUGGAAACCGGCAACCUGGCUAACUCGUGACGUUUCAAAGCUAGACUCCGUAUAACCCUUACUCUAUAUCCGACUCUGUUCGCUGAGGCACUUCCGAAACGCUUCUGUAGAAUCCGACGCUGAGAGGAACUUUGGGUAACCCGGCGGCUGCUGCUAUCCACCGCGCCGCGCCGCGUUAUCCGACGACUAAGUUCCAACUGAUUUGCACUAUUUAUACAAAACCGGACUCAA
rnacentral:misc_RNA from 1 species